UACGGAGGAUCCGAGCGUUAUCCGGAUUUAUUGGGUUUAAAGGGUGCGUAGGCGGUUUGAUAAGUUAGAGGUGAAAUGUCGGGGCUCAACCCCGAAACUGCCUCUAAUACUGUUGGACUAGAGAAUAGUUGCGGUAGGCGGAAUGUAUGGUGUAGCGGUGAAAUGCUUAGAGAUCAUACAGAACACCGAUUGCGAAGGCAGCUUACCAAACUAUAUCUGACGUUGUGGCACGAAAGCGUGGGUAGCAAACAGG
rnacentral:rRNA from 1 species